rnacentral:rRNA from 2 species
GAGGUUAGUGCAAUGGCAUAAGCCAGCUUGACUGCGAGCGUGACGGCGCGAGCAGGUGCGAAAGCAGGUCAUAGUGAUCCGGUGGUUCUGAAUGGAAGGGCCAUCGCUCAACGGAUAAAAGGUACUCCGGGGAUAACAGGCUGAUACCGCCCAAGAGUUCAUAUCGACGGCGGUGUUUGGCACCUCGAUGUCGGCUCAUCACAUCCUGGGGCUGAAGUAGGUCCCAAGGGUAUGGCUGUUCGCCAUUUAAAGUGGUACGCGAGCUGGGUUUAGAACGUCGUGAGACAGUUCGGUCCCUAUCUGCCGUGGGCGCUGGAGAACUGAGGGGGGCUGCUCCUAGUACGAGAGGACCGGAGUGGACGCAUCACUGGUGUUCGGGUUGUCAUGCCAAUGGCACUGCCCGGUAGCUAAAUGCGGAAGAGAUAAGUGCUGAAAGCAUCUAAGCACGAAACUUGCCCCGAG